GCAACUAAAUACUAUUUACGUGGUCAGCAAUCGAGAGCGAUCGUUCCCGCUUCCCGACCAAGCCUGAUGCAGUAAAGCAGAUUGAUUAGGAUUGAAUAUACACUUGCAUUUAAAGUGAACAGGAACUUAAUUUGGUUAUUUUUUAGUAUAUUUGUAAAAAAUAAUUGUUUACAUAUCAGUUUUAAUUUAUAACAAAAGUAUAAUUUUUUAUAAUUUUUUAUUAAAUACAUUUUUAAAUUCUUUAAAAUAUCAAAAUGUAUAUAUUUUGAUGACAAUACUCAGACAUUUGUUUAAUUUGGCUAGUCAUUUGUUUAAGAAACAAGUUGGCUAGGGAAAUGUUGAGUUUUAAGAUAUUUUUUAAAUAAUUAUCACAGAAUGUUAUAUAAUUUUUUUAGAUUAUGUUGAGAAAUAAAUUAAAUAUACAAUCAUAAAAUGCUAUUCAAGUGCAAUAUAAAAUUGAAAAUGUAGAUUUGAUACUAAAUAUUGCAAAAACUGAAUGUUUGAAUAAUCAUGAAUGUUUUGUAUUUUUCGCUUGCUAUAAGUUGGUUUGUGUUGAUUUAUGAUUAACAACAGAAAAUACAAUACUUCAACAAACAUUAGUUUUUUACACAAAAGUUAUGAAAAAUCUCCUUGAAAUGGUUCAUCUAAAUCUAGUAAGUUUACACUUAAUCUGACAACAUUGUUUUGAAUACUUUGUUUCAGAAAGUUCAGGAAUGUUUUACUUUCCCCAAGUUUUAAUAUCUCAAACUGUUAGUUUACAGAAUUUGAUAAAAUAAAUAAAAUGAUUUCUGUAUAUUAAAAAUAUAUAGAAUUUCCAAAAUAUACAGGUUUUUCCUAUUAUUGACCUGGUCUUCUGUGAAUGGAUAAGUUCUAAGUUAUAUAUGCAUAAUGAUUUUUUAAACCAAUUAGGGUGUUGCAUAUUUUUUAGAAUCUGCUGUGAAAUGAAUUUAAUUAUAUAAAAUCACAAAAUGUAGCUCUAAGACAACAUGAAAUUAAACAAUAAAUUUUGGUCCAUGGUAAUUGAAAUACGUUAUGUUUGACUAAUCAUAAAUAUAACUAUUAUAUAUAUUAAUAUAAGUACUCUACGCUUGUUUAUAAUUGUAAAUUUUCAUGUGAAAAUAAUUUUAAUACAAAAUUUAUUGUGGUCAAAACUGCAAUUGUUUUUGUAACGACAAACUAUGUGAGUAAUUAAUUGUCCUGCCCUGGGCCUCUACUUCGAUCUGGCUAUUGUUAUAACAAGUAUAUCGAUUUAUAUACUGUAUUGAGUUACCUUGUGAUUUGUACGUGUGUUUUUGUUUGCCUAGUGUUUGUUAGUUAUAUGGAAGAUAUGGCAUGGUAUGGCACACUGCAUGGUAUGCCCUUAAUAAUAUUAUCAACAAAUAUUUUUAUCUAUGUUUUGUAAAUAUAUAUGCUAUAAAUUAUUAUAUUAUUCAAAUGUUUUUUUUUAAUUUAUAAAAUUAGUGUAAAAGUGGAUGAAAGCAUUAAAGAAGCGUAACGAUAAACUUUAAAGCAGAAAUUUGUCAUGCGAUUAUGGUGGCGAUAUGAGAGAACUAAAGUGGCAGUAUAUUACUAUCGUAGAACAGUUUUGCAUCAAAUCAUUGUAUAAUAUUAGUUUUUGGUUGCUUAAAAAUAUUAUGAAAUUCAAA